rnacentral:rRNA from 2 species
UACAACUCUGAGCGGUGG